rnacentral:rRNA from 1 species
GACGAACGCUGGCGGCGUGCUUAACACAUGCAAGUCGAGCGGUAAGGCCUUUCGGGGUACACGAGUGGCGAACGGGUGAGUAACACGUGGGUGAUCUGCCCUUCACUUCGGGAUAAGCCCGGGAAACUGGGACUAAUACCGGAUCGGACUGCGCGGUGCAUGCCGUUUGGGGGAGAGAUUUAUCGGUGCAGGAUGGGCCCGCGGCCUAUCAGCUUGUUGGUGGGGUAAUAGCCUACCAAGGCCACGACGGGUAGCCGGCCUGAGAGGGCGACCGGCCACACUGGGACUGAGACACGGCCCAGACUCCUACGGGAGGCAGCAGUGGGGAAUAUUGCACAAUGGGCGGAAGCCUGAUGCAGCGACGCCGCGUGAGGGAUGACGGCCUUCGGGUUGUAAACCUCUUUCAGCAGGGACGAAGCGUGAGUGACGGUACCUGCAGAAGAAGCACCGGCCAACUACGUG